CAAGAAUAUGAAGAGAAGGAGGAUGACAGCUUCCUAGAAACGAGAAAAUCCAAGGAUGGAACCUACAGUGUCCUUAUGGACUCAGCAAACCGCAGUUGGCUGGGCAGAAAAAUGAGUGAAAUAGCUAUUAGUAACCUAGUUGAGACGAUCCUCAAUAUUAUGAUCCAUGCUUCCCCACUGAAGUACCAGCGCUGUAUUGGCGCACUAGGGCAGAUCUUUGCGUCUUACCAAGUGUCUCCAUCCCUGCGCUCUGAGACUGCCCACCGUCUGCUGGAUGAUACAACCAAUUCCAACCCACUGAUCCGAGAGCUAGCCUGGGAAGGGCUGAAGCGUCUAGGAAUGGUCACUCAUCUCUUUGCCUUGCCUCUGGCCCAAGGGUUAAUGGAUAAGGAUGAAAGAGUGAGGAAUAAGGCCCUCAACAUCAUGCCUGAGACUGGAAUCCACUCCAGGACCUCACUCUUAAACUUGAUCCAGGGACAAGAGACUUUCCAGGAAAUGAAGCAAGAGAUGAUUGGGGAUGAAUCCCUGGACCACCUGCUGGGGAUGCGGCCCACAGAUCUCCAAAUCCUUUUCUCUCAAGUGCAGCAGCGACUGAAUGAAAACCUGACCUUGUCAAAAGAAGAUAGGGAAUUUUAUUUUUCUUUACAUAUCGCAAGGCCUUCUGUACCUUCUAUACAACCUGCCACUGUUCCUGAAGAAUCUGAUGUCAAGCGCAGCAAAGGGCAAAGACGGGGCCGAGCAGUGGGCAGAAAGCACACGCGAAAAUUGUUGCGAGGUCUCAGAAAGAUGAAAGAGGGAGACUUUAAACAGAUGAGCACAGAGCCGGGCCCAGUAGAAGGUGAAAUUGAUCAGAGUGAAACUGUGCCACCUGAGAUGGAGGACACAACUUUCUCCUCCAGGUUUUCAGUUGGUAGUCUAAAGGGCUCUCAAGAUUAUGAACCUUCAGAGAUACAUGUCUCAGAGGGUCACAUUCCUCUGGCCCAGAAGAUGCUAAAGAAAAUGCCUGAUACAAGAGGUAUUGCCAAAUACGGAAUCUUAGAACUUGCCUGGAAGAGCCUGCCCCAAGCUGAUACUUGCCUCACCAAGGAAUUUCCCCACAUCAUUGCCACCACUCCCAAAUUUGGGACUGGCUAGAGGUCAGAACUUUUCAUUCCCAACUGGAGAAGGCUCUGCUCAUCAGAAUCUAGAGCUUCAUCUCUAGGGACCAGAUCAAAGCCCUUUCCCUACCCAGCUCUGGAAACCUGUUUCUGUAUGUGAAUAAAGGAGAGGUUCUUUUUUUGCAACAAGUAAGGAACUUUGAUGUGUUCCUUUUCCCAAAAAUUUAUAUUUUAGGAAGGUCACCAGAGAUACAUAUUUCUGUGAGCGGGAAAAUAUCCCAGCAGCCAGUGGUAUUCACUCUGUGAGCUCCUGAAGAGUCUGUCCUUGUCCUCAUCCUUCCUGGUCUUCUACCAUCGCUGUCCCGAAAACAACAGGGAAGAAAGCAACUGUCACAAAACUAAUGUAUAUAGACAUUAAUAUAAGUGGUGGAAUGGAUUUAAGAAUCAGAAGACCUAACAUUUGCAUUUUAGUACCUGGAGGCGUACUGUAGGGAUUGACUCUAAUUCCCUGAUCACAGCUGAGCAUGAUGAUGACUUAAGUCCCAAACAGCAAUUGUGCUGGGUAUUGAGAUCCUUAGAGUAAAGGAAAAAGCCUCAUCACAUUUGACCCAGUACUAUGUGGUGAGUUCAUUGCUGGAUCCCACUAAAGAGGGACGCCAUUUGAGGUUAAAGCAGGAAGAAAAUGAGAAGACCCUAUGCUUUUCAUUGCCUUUGCUAUGAGAGAGUGACAUGGGGCUUGACAGAAUGAUGGAAUAAGAAUUAAGAAGACUAAGUAUAGACUCAAAUAAGUCCCAGUUGUCUAGGAAUUUAUAACCGUUCCUUCCAACAAAUAAAGAUAUAAGAUUUAAAAGAAAAAAUGUAGUACCAUAGAGGAAGCUUUCAUUGCCAGUAAUCCUGUUCUCUCCUUACCAUGGAGUCUUCAGAAUGGCCUCUUUCCAGGGAAGCUCAGGCUUCCAAAUGCUUCUAGGGAGUGCCUCAUCUCUGCCACUUCCCAUUCUCUGCCACAACCUCUAUUUUGCUAUUCUAAUACUUGCAUCUUUGGAUGUAUUUUCCUGUGGGAGGAAGCAGGGGAUAGAGGACAGCAAAACAGUCUGAGAAGUUAGAGUCAUCUCAAAGGCCAAAAGCAAUGAGAGCUGUGACUCUGCAGUUGCGCUCUUCCAUGUUAGAGUGUAUAUCAGGCCACAUAGCUUGGAGCAGGAAGCCUCAAAAAGGAUGACUGACCUGACAGCCAGUCAAGGCAGUGAAAGUAAAGAUAGCCCAGCUUGCUCAGUAGCCUUGACCUGAGUCACUUCUCUGUUUUGGCCUCUGUUUAUUUGUCUGUCAAAAAAGGAAUAAUGCUCACUACAAAUAUUAGGCAUGAAAGAAGGAACACCACUACAGAACCUACAGAUGCUUAAAAGGAUAAGACUGCUAUUUUAAAAACUCUUAUGCCUAUAAAUUUGACAGCAUAGAUGAAAUGAGUAAACUCUUUGAAAAACCCUGAAGCAAAUAGCAAUACCUAGCUAAUUCAUUUGUUGGAUAGACCAUCCACAUUCCAAUUUUUUGACUGACCUAAUAAUGCCCUUAUAGCCUUCUUUUCCUUCCAUUACAAGAGUCAGUCUAAAGUCAGGUUAUCAGGGGCUCCUCUGGUAAAUCCACAAAACCUAGUGAACUGUCUGUUGUGAUCCCAGAGUCAAAAAGAAUAUGGAUGACCCUUCAGGGAGCCUCAGAAGCUAGGUACUUGCUGUGAAAAUCCAGUUUUUUAUUUGUUUUGUUUUGUUUUUGAGACAGGUUCUCGCUAUACCAUUCAGGCUGCCCUUGAAUUCACUAUGUAGCCCCAACACUAACCUCCAACUCAGGGCAAUCCUCUUGCCUCAGACACCUGAGUUUUAGAAUUACAGGUGUGUAUCACCAUGCUCAGCCUAACAAUCCAGAUAUGGCAAAGAGAAGUCAUUCAUUUGUAUUUUCUGUUAUGAAAAUUUGGGGGCUGGAGAUGUAGCUCAGUCAUAGAGCAUGAUGAAAGGAAAGGAAUGACUUUUUUUGUUGUUGGUGUUUUUGAAACAGGGUCCCCCUAUGCAGUUCAGGCCGCCCUCGAAUUUACUAUGUAGCCCCUACACUAGUGUCCCACUCACAGCAAUCUUCCUGCCUCAACCGCCUGAGUGCUAGGAUUACAAGUGUGUACCAUACCACACCCGCAAGUACUUUUUAAAAAGGGAAAUUCAGAGGUAGUAAAUCUGAAAUUCAGGAAUAAUUCAGUGAAUGGGGCUUGGAAACAAUUCUAUUUCUAGAAUUAUGAUCAACCUAAUAGUAUAUCAUUCUACUGUAAACUGUCUAGAAAUGUUGAACAAAACAUAAUCAUCCUUUCAAAUAUGAAGUUGGGCUGAGCUGAUAAUAAGAUCAGCAACCAAAUACGAAGUGAGAAAUAAAAUUAAAUGGUAGGUCUUGGGCUAGAGGUGUAGCUCAGUAAUAAAAGUAGAUGCUUAGCGUGAGUAAGGCUCUAGGUUCAACCCCCAGCACCAAAAACAAAUAAAACACACAAGUGGUUCGUUUGUGAUCUAUUGUUAAGGCAAUGGGGCAAAGAACAUGAUUUUUUGGCUGUAGUAAUUUAGGAGACUGGGUCUUUAUACCCAAGUGAGGACAGGAUAAAAGUUUUGAACCAGAACCAAAUGAGUGGCUGUACUUCUGAAUAAAGAGGUGAAUAAUAUGAUAAGGUAGAUAAUCCAGAAUAGAAUCUGUCCACCUGGCUAUGGUAUGUGGGAUAUCUGGAAUAGGAAAAACAAGGUGCUUUCUAAAGAUUCUUAGGCAUGAGUUUGCAUUUAUCCCAUAAAAUAUUGGGACCCCAAACCAAGAUGUUAACAUAAAAAUUGUCUUGAACCAUUGAUAUUUCUGAAGCGCUUUGCAGAAGCAAUCAUAAAAUCUUUCUAUAAGCACUGGCUCUCCACACAGGAUUUUCAAAUAUAAAACUCAAAACAAGAUCACAAAUUACAGCUCAAAUUUUUUGUCACAAGAUAUACCAAAUAGCAAGACUAGACCCACAGAUCUUCAGAGACCAGAAUUAUCAGAUAUAGACUUUAAAAUAAUUGUGCUAAAAAACAUACACACCCACUAACACAAAGAAAAAGUUCAAGGCAGAUCUGAAAAGAGCCAAAUAAGCCAGACACAAUGGGGCACAUACCUAUAAGAACCAGCCUGGGUAACUUAGUGAGAUACUGUCUCAAAAUUUAAAAAAGCCUUAAAAGGACUGGGGUUGUGGCUCAGUGAUAGAAUACUUGCCUAUGGGCCAUGUGGGCCAGGUCCUUAGG
ensembl:lincRNA